UACAGAGGGUGCAAGCGUUAAUCGGAAUUACUGGGCGUAAAGCGCGCGUAGGUGGUUUGGUAAGUCGGAUGUGGAAUCCCCGGGCUCAACCUGGGAACUGCAUUCGAAACUGCCUGGCUAGAGUUUGAGAGAGGGAAGUGGAAUUCCACGUGUAGCAGUGAAAUGCGUAGAGAUGUGGAGGAAUACCGAUGGCGAAGGCAGCCCCCUGGGAUAACACUGACGCUCAUGUACGAAAGCGUGGGUAGCAAACAGG
rnacentral:rRNA from 1 species